CCGGGGCCGCACGCGCGCUACAUUGAAGGAAUCAGCGUGUGUUUUCCCGGUCCGACAGGAUUGGGUAACCCGUUGAAUCUCUUUCGUGCUGGGGAUAGGAAAUUGCAAUUGUUUUCCUUGAACGAGGAAUUCCCAGUAAGCGCGAGUCAUAAGCUCGUGUUGAUUACGUCCCUGGCCUUUGUACUCACCGCCCGUCGCAAAUACCGAUUGAAUGAUUCAGUGAGGUCUUCGGACUGGCGCCCGGACUGGCUUUCGGGUUCGGGCCGGCGUGCUGGAAAGAUGACCGAACUUGAUCAUUUAGAGGAAUUUGAAGUCGUAACAAGGUCACC
rnacentral:rRNA from 1 species